rnacentral:lncRNA from 1 species
AAACACAACAUCUAUCAAACAACCAUAAAUCCUGGUUAUUAUUUUUCUAGAAGAGGCCAGCAGCAGAGAGCAGACUCCCUUGGACCCAGCAGUGUCUCCAUGAAGAGUGACCGCUCUAUGGGUAGACUUUGGAACUUUACAGAUGGAAAUCAGUCUAUUGAGAAGAGGUGAGGAUUUACACAGUGUCCCGUCGGAGGUGGUGUGAAUGAGAGGAGGGAUAAGACUGUUUUAGUGAUGUGGUUGACAUGGUGUGAAUGAGAGGAGGGAUGAGGCUGUUUUAGUGAUGUGGUUGACUUGAUCUGAUCUUGUUUAUCUAGAAGAGUCCAGCAGCAGAGAGAGGACUCCCCUGGACCCAGCUGUGUCUCCAUGAAGAGUGACAACUCUAUGGUUCAACCUCCUCUCUUUAAAGAUGAACGCCCCUCCAGAGAGGAGAGACAACCCCACCAGAGGUCAAAGGUUACCAGUGCUCAAUCUGUACAGCAGCAUCAAACAGAGCUGAUCAAGGUGUGUAUAUUUCCAACAAGACAUCUGACUUCUGCUCUAGGCAAGGCAAGGCAAGGCAAGGCAACUUUAUUUAUAUAGCACUUUUCAUACACAAGGCAGACUCAAAGUGCUUCACAUAUAAACAUUGUCAUACAAUUAAAUAAAAUAAUAGGUAAGUAAAAUAAAAAAAAGAAAAGAAAAACAUAUGCAAAAAAAAAAAAUAGAAGUUAAGGCAUUUUAGUAUUAAAAUAGAAAAUAAAGGCAAAGUUAAAAAAGCUUUUUUAGAAAGUACAAUGUCUUUAAGAUUUAGCAGAAAGCUAUAGCAAACAUAAAAGUCUUCAGUCUUGUUUUAAAGGUGCUCAGAGUUGGGGCAAGUCUUAAAUCCUCUGGGAGUUUAUUCCAGCUAUUUGUUGCAUAGUAACUAAAUCCUGCUUUCCCAUGUUUUGUGUUUACUCUGGGGAUAAUUAACAGAUUGGUCUCAGAGCUUCUUACUGGUCUAAAAGGCUGAUGUAGUGGAAGCAUAUCAGUUAAAUAUUUUGGGCCUAAACCAUGUAGGGAUUUAUAGGUAAGCAACAUGAUUUUAAAAUCAAUUCUCUGACCUACAGGAAGCCAAUGUAACGAUUUCAGAAUUGUUUGGUCUUUGUUAGAACUCUAGCAGCAGCAUUCUGAACAAGCUGAAGCUUCCUCAGAGUUUGUUUUGGGAGACCUGUAAGGAGACCAUUGCAGUAAUCAAGCUUACUAGUGAUAAAGGCAUGUACAAAUUUUUGUAAGUCUUCGGUGGACAUGAGGCCUCUAAGUCUUGCUACAUUUUUAAGGUGAUAAUAUGCUGAUUUUGUAACUGAUUUGAUGUGACUGUCAAAAUGUAAAUCUGAAUCCAUGAUAACCCCUAGAUUUCUGGCUUUGAUUGAGGUUUUCAGGGACAGAGAGUGAAGAUGUUGGGUUACUUUAAGCCUUUCCGUUUUAGAACCAAAUACAAUUAUCUCUGUUUUGUCCUCAUUUAGUUGAAGGAAAUUUUGGCACAUCCAUUCCUUCACUUGCUCAAUGCACUGGCACAGCAGAUCUAUGGGCCGAUAGUCAUUUGGUGAUAGCGAUGCAUAGAUUUGCGUGUCAUCAGCAUAGCAAUGAUGGUCAAUAUUGUAGAUGUUGAAUAAAGAGGGUCCUAAGAUCGAACCUUGUGGGACUCCACAUGUCACGUUGGUUGAUUCUGAUACAAAGUCGCCAAUGGAAACAAAGUAGUUCCUAUUUUGUAGGUAGGACCUGAACCAAUUUAAGACAGUGCCUGAAAGCCCCACCCAGUUUUCUAACCUUUCCAGAAGUAAUUUAUGGUCUACAGUGUCGAAUGCAGCACUGAGGUCAAGUAGCAUUAGUAUUGAGGUUUUGCCAGAGUCUGUGUUAAGACGGAUGUCGUUUACAACUUUAAUAAGGGCGGUCUCAGUGCUGUGCAGGGGUCGAAAUCCUGAUUGGAAGGUGUCAUAGCAAACAGUUGAUGCCAGGAAGUGAUUUAGUUGCUAGUGGACAACUUUCUCAAUGUUUUGACUUAUGAAGGGUAGAUUUGAUAUUGGUCUGUAGUUGUUAAUAAUAGAGGCAUCUAGGCUCCGCUUUUUUAAAAGGGGUUUAAUAACUGCAGUUUUCAAAGCUUUUGGGAAAUUGCCUGACUGACUGACUGAGAGAGUUGUUAACUAUCUGCAAUAUGUCUACUGCUAGGCAGUCGAAAACAUUCUUAAAGAGGUUGGUAGGUAUAGUAUCAAGGCAACAGCUUUAGUUGUGUCACAGAUUCCACAAGAUUUUGAGAGUCUAUAACAUUAAAGCAUGCCAUCCUUGCCACGUAUU